GGGGAUGAGCUUCAGAAUAUUCCAGGAGAGCAGGUGACAGAGGAACAAUUCACAGACGAACAGGGCAACAUUGUCACCAAGAAGAUCAUUCGAAAAGUCGUCCGACAGGUGGACUCCUCUGGUGCCAUCGACACCCAGCAGCACGAGGAGGUGGAGCUAAGAGGGAGUGGACUCCAGCCGGACCUGAUAGAAGGAUCACACCUCAACACCCAAACCCUGAACUCCACACACUCUUGUCAUGCACACGGGAGGAGACCUGGACCAGAGGGCUACUGAAGGGUCGCACGCGUUCUGAGCUCCCCGGCAUGACCUCUGUAAGGAGUUUCCUUUAGUCUCCUAUUCGCAUGAAUGACUGGCUGUAGACGCAUGACCUACAGUCUUCAGUCCUGCCUCUAGCGACUAUGGAUCUCUGUGGGAAUCAGGACAAAGGCGGCGAGAGAAGGGAGCGGAUAAGGAGCCCCAAAGAGCACACGGGUGCAGACACGAAUAAGGGCUUACCGUGGCUGGGAUGGUUGAUCCGUUUGUUUGCGUUUUGUUUUGAUUUUUGACUUCAAACUCAUUUGUAAG
rnacentral:lncRNA from 1 species